GGGGCUGACAGGUUUUGACAGCGUGUAGAAGUGGUGUGUAAGCGUGCAGAGCUUUGAGGCAUACGCUCUAUAAUAUCAUGCUUCGAGCAAUUUAAAUGGCGAAAAUAACUACGCUCUUGCUGCUUAAUCGAAGUACAGUAGAUUAGCUUAAUCGCUGCAACAGUUGCGGCGACAAGACAUCGUCCGAGUGCCCUUUUUCCGAGGCUAUUCGAUCAGACGGUGCUCAUAAAUCGGAAAUAGGAGCCAAAGAGCCUCGCGAUGGUUCCGAAAUUUUUUGAGGAUAAGGAUGCUGUUGGUAGUUUCAGGCCUGCAUCAUCCCGACAAUCAACUUGAAACUAAGCACGUAGAAAGCUCAUUAGUUCCGCGUUUGGACGAGGGUUCGAACCCCUCCAGCUCCACUG
rnacentral:tmRNA from 1 species